UGUCGGUGUGUUGCAGGACUAGAAAGAUCAGUUACAUCCUGGUGAUUUGGCUACAGAAACUAGACUCAGGUUGAUGUUACUGUGAUUUGCUGGGGCUGCCGUGGCCAUGUCGAAAUGGCAGGUGUCAGUGAGGCCUGUUGCUCAGUUAUCCACCAGGUGGCGUAGUCAAGUAGUUUUCUUUUGGUGUCUGCUGUUCCAUCCUUUGGAUUCAUCCGAUGGAACAGAGCGUUUCGAGAUGUGACUAUUGGACUUGAAGCGGAAACAGGAAAGUAGCCUCUGCCCUGCACUGGACUUGAGCUUGAAUUACCACCAUGACUGUAGGGACAGAAACCCAAAGAACAACUGAAAAGCAUAACUAUUCUGGAGAUUCAAGGACUUGAGAGAAUCCAGGGCCCCUGCCACUGAAUGUGACAUUGCCGUAUUGCCGUACUUAGAGGAGAACAGACUAAUAUGUUAAUGGAUAUAUUAAAAACAUUUGAUAAUUUAUUUUUUCGGUCUUUGGUGGAAAGGAUUCUUUCUGCCGGAAUAUAUCGAAGAGGUUCUGUGAUGAAAUCAGCCUUUACAAAUCCAAGUAAUGACAAAACCACUUGUCCAGAUUUAUUUUAAUAUGAUUACCAAAAAGACUGUUUACUUCUGAAAU